UGCCACCCCAGUUUUGGGAUGAGUGAAUGAGUUGAAAAUUCUUGGGUUUUGUUUUUGUUGUUUCUGUUUUUGUUUUCGUUCUUUUUUUUUUUAAAGAUAGUUGGUUUUUAAUGUCAACAUAGUGUUUUUUUAUGAAUAUUGUUACAAAGUUAAGGCUUAGGUAGGUUGCUAGUUAAGACCUGCUAAAGGAACUGAUAGAUUAUUUGUAUUAAGACAGGUUUGUUAGAUCGGGUUACAGGAUGCAGUGGAGGUGGUCCAGCGGCUGGUUUUCUACAUUGAGAGCCCAAGGAAGUUGGCUCUAGUAUCUGCGGAAGAUGCUGCUGGAACAGGAUAGCUGUACCUGCCAGCAAGUGUGAGGGGAAACAGGCAAACAGCAGUGCUCCCUUCUUCCUUGUCCUUGUAUCUGGGCUGGCAGGUUUGGCCACUUUAGGGUAGCUUUUCCACUUCAAAUAAUCUGGUUAAGCAAAUCCCCUCACCGCAGUGGGCAGAGCCAUUGCAGUAGGCUUCCAGCACAGAACUUUUUUUUAAAUUUUUUUUUGAUAUUUGUUUUCCCAUAGAUUUUAUCAUUGAAGAUUAAUAGCUAGGAUUAUGUUGAGAUUAAUGGUUUUGUGGGAUGAGGGAAGCAAGACAGGAAACAGGCCUUGAGGUCAUAUGUAAAGAUAUGCUUCUGCGUUCUCUGGGAAGAGAAUUUUCUGCAGACAGACUGAGAAACAGCUUAGCUGUCCUGACUUCGCAGGUCCUGUCUUCACCGGAAGAUACUGGUAUAAAAAUGAUGGGAAUCAGGGUUAAGUUGUAGACGUGUAGGCUGGUGACAUCAGUUAAUUGGUGGGACUAGUUGUGUCUGGAAGACUAAAAUGCUAAAGCUAAGUCUGCCAUACCAUAUGAGGUUGAUGCCUUUGGGAUACAAAUUUUAGAGUGUAGUUGAAACUUAAAGCAAUAAAUGUAAUGGGGUAGUACAUAUUUUCAGAUAUAGUUCCUUUUGCACUUAAAUUUCAUACUUUUUGGUUGACAUGUACUUACUAUAAUGAGAUACACUCUGAAUUCUAAGGAGAUUUGGUAGUGGCCUUGGGUAUAAAACAGAUCUUACACAUUUUAAUAUUGGCUUGAAGUUGAAUCUAGAAAUCUCAUGUUACAGGACUGAAAUUGAAUUGAUUUUUAUAAAUGAUAGAAAUGUAAUUUUUUUCUGGUUAUAAGAUUGCAGUCCUCAUUGUAGAUAAAUUUUAUGGAAAUUCAGAAAGGUUAAGGUAGUGACAGUUACCUGCCCUGUUAGUGUCCUGAGGUGUCACCCAGCUUUUUCCCGUGUCUUUGUGUUCCUUUGCUUCUGCGGAUACCUGUGCUGUCCCUUGCUUCUGGCCCCUCGGCUGGGGGAGCAUCCUCCCCCUGUUUGGUAGCUGACCUCUCACCCCCGGGCUGUGUCUAAGGACUCAGUCCUCUUCUGCGGUCUGCACUGUUCCUCCCUGGUUGGCGUGCGCCAGAAAGACAAGACUUAGUGUCCUCACCUCAAGAGCCGGUGAUGGCAAUCUGACAGGACUGCCUGCGGUAAGAGGAAAUGGGCUCUGAGUUUCUCAGCACAGUUCUGGCAGACAGUAAAGGCUUGUUAAAAGUUCCACUAACGUUCUGUUAAGCUGCACCAUGGUUGUGUUUAGUGACGGUUUCUUGUGCUAUUAUGGUAAGCAUUCCAGGGCACAGCCAUGAGCCUGGCCUGUCAGAGAGGAUAAUCAAGAAAACCUCAAAAUUCAAGGUCAAGCUAUCCAAACUGCUAUUUUUAUUACAAUCAUAAUCCUGGGUGGAAAUCCUGGGCAUUUCCAUGUGGUUUAAUGGUGUAGUGACAACCCAAAACAUGAAAUUCUGUCUUCCAUUAUUGCCUAUCCACCCGUUUCUAAGUGGGGCAAAGUCCUUUUAUGUAAGGAAAAUGGGGGGACCUAGAACAGCUUCAAGGGCAUAAAGAGAAGCCCAUUUAGGGUGUGACCAUUGGAACUGUUUAGUUUAGCAUAAGGGUUUUAUUUUAAAUGGUUCAUCAUUAGAAAGCCAAAACAUAUAAAAUACUAACAAAGAAUUUGAAUAUUUUAUAGUGGGCAAGAACAGUUUCCUGUCCCAGUUCAUGUCACUUGAGGAUCUGCAGAAGGAAUUUCGGACAGGAGAACCUCAGGGAGGGGCGGCCCCUAUUUGACUUUGCUUCUCCUAGGGAGGGACAUGAUCAAUGGAAAGAGAAUUGUAGCAGCAAGUUUGUCAGCUCAGUGAGUAUGGUGCUGUAGCAAGCCUCUGCUUGGAAGGCAUGGACAGUACCUGCUUUAGAGUGUUAAUGUGGGAUAACUUUUUUGUUUGUUUUGUUUUGUUUUGUUUUUUGUUUGUUUGUUUUCGAGACAGGUUUUCUCUGUAGCCCUGACUGUCCUGGAACUCACUUUGUGAUAACUUUGAAGACAGGACGUAUCCUAGUGUUUCCCAUCACUAAUUCACUGUCUUUCCUUUUCUUGUUAACGGUCAGCAAAGAUGUACUGCCCUCGAAUUAUUUGUGACAUGUCACAUUUAACAAACACUGAUGUUUGAACACACUGUAUUUUAAGAUACAAAUGUUGAUGUUUGUACUUCAAAAAUAGUGACACAUUAAAAUUGCAGGUCACGUAAUACUUUCCAAUAUUUAUAAUGUCCCCUUAAUAACCAAAUUUAACAAUGCUUUUACAUUUUGUUUCUCGUGGCUUCACACAAGGUUUACACAGCCCUUUACAGUCUCCAGUUCAGUUCAGUGUCUCUUAGUGCUUUUGCAGAGCUGUGUAAACUAUGGUCACACUAGAUAUUAGAGUUUUCUAGUCCCUCCUAAGACAGUGCUUCCCAACUUUCCUCAUGCUGUGACCCUUUAAUAUAGUUCCUCAUGCUGUGAUGACCCCAACCAUAAAAUUAUUUUGUUACCACUUUACAACUAGUUUUGCUACUGUUAUAAAUUCUAAUAGAAAUAUAUGAUAUAUAGGCUAUUUGAUAUGCAACCCCUGUGAAAGGGUCAUUUAACCCCUGAAGGGGUUGUGACCCAAAGGUUGAGAACCACUGCCCUAAGAGAUCUUCAUCCUCAUUUCCCUUAAGUCCCUUGACCAUUCCCAGGCUGCCAUCUGCUCCCCUGCUCCCCGCAAUGUAGUUGUCUAUGUGAGCAGAGACCAAGGCACUGGGUAUCCAGAUCUAACACUCUGCCUUGAGUCGCUGAACCCAUUGCUCAGCUAGGCUGGCCGGCUGGUGAGCUGGAAACGGCUUGUCUCCACCCCUGCGUUGCUAGGAUUGCAAGACAUGCACAGCCAUGUCUACAUUUUUAUGUGGGUGUUGGAGAUUCCAGUUUUGAUCCUCAGGCUUUCGUGGCAAGUGAUCUCAUCUCCCUAGCCGUUGUUUUGUCUGUUUUUGAUUAAUUUAUCUUGAACUGUACAAGCGUGGCCUUUGGUGCCGAGGUUUAAGACAUUGGUUGAUACUGAAGUAUUUUGGCUGCUUUUCCUGAUUCUUACCCAUCCCUCUUUCCCGCCUCCCUUUUUUUUUUUGUUUGUUUGUUCUGUUUUUAAAGCAAUGAUGUGCAUGCAACCUAGUGAGCUGUAGCCCCAGUACUUUUUCUGUCCAGUAAUGCCCACUGGGUAGCUUUGGUGCAGUUUGUUCCCUGCUAUGCACCCAUGCAUGGGCACUGAGGUAAUGUCUGCUUUGAAGCUAUUACACUGUGGACUUCUGGGUGCUGGCUUGUGUGCGGGUAUACGUCUUUACUUCUCUUGGGCACUACCUACCUUGGAGCAGGAUAACUAAACUGUACAGUCUCUAUAUUGAGCCUUUUGGGGAACUGUUUCUUUUUAAGUGACUCCACUGUCCUUCGAUCCUGUCAGUCUCAGUUUCUCCUCACCCUUGCCAACAAACAUUUCACUGUGGCAUCUUCGCCACGCGUGUGAGGUGGCAGUUCCUUAUUCUUUUUCUCUUGGCUAAUGAUGUUGAACAUCUCUUCAUUUACCAAGUGCAAAUCUUAUCUGGAAAAAAUAUUUACUCAGCCCCUUUGCCAGUUGCUUUGAUUGGAUUGUCGUUACUAUUAGUGAGUCUGGAAAGCCUGUGUAUGUUCUGGACACAGGGUCCCUACCAGAUAGUUUACUAGAUAAGCUGCCUCCUUCACUGCUAUAAGAAGGCACAGUGUCUGGACUGGAGAGAUGGCUGAGCCCCAAAGGGACAUGACAGUGCAGUGCUCCUGGAGAGUCAGUAUUUGGGCAGUUUCAAUAAUUAAAUUGCUACUUCAGAAACUGGCCAUGGAAGAUAUUUAUUGAUAUUAAUUUACCAAGUUGAAAAUUUAUCAACACUUGGAAAGCUGGGUUUCUGUCUUUUGUUGUGGUUGUAAUUAUUUAUGUCAUGCUGAAAAUUAUCUGUGAGUAAAAUCUUGUUUGAAAUUUAACUGUACACAGAGUUUGUAGUAUAGGAGAGUUAAAUAUUUAAACCUCUGUGACUUCACUCAGUGCAAUACAAAUGCUUUAAAAUCUUCCCAUUUGUGUGUGUGUGUGUGUGUGUGUGUGUGUGUGUGUGAGACUAUGAUGUACAUGUAGAGAUCAUAUCACAACUUGGAAGUUGAUCCUCUCUUUCCACCAUCUGGAUUCGAACUCAGAUUGUCAAGCUUGGUGGCAAGCACCUUUCCCUAGGGAGGCAUUCCAGCAGUCAUGAGCGUAAUAAAAAAUAUUUAUUGGUAGUAUUCUAGUUGAACUUGGUUAAAAUUUUAAAAUAUUAUCUUCCUUGAUUUUUAAAAAUUGUAGAACUCUGCUCUUCACAUGCAGUGGUAUAGUUGAUAUAAAUCCCCAAAUGAUUACUGCUUUAAAGUGGAGACAGUCCAGAAUGAAACCAUAUAUGUUCUUGUGAGCUUAUGGUCAUGAAUAAUUACGUGUCUUUUGUCAAAAACAAAACCAAGCAAACAAAAAACCUGUUAAACUUUAGUAUUUUUAACUCUUGAUUUAUGAAUUAAUAUAACAAUUUUACAUAUGCCCUUAAUUAAGUUCCCACCAGGAAGGGCUUUCAAAAGAGGGAAAGUAUAUGAGUUUUAUUCUGUCUGGAUGGGCAUGGAAGUUUGCUUUCAAAUAUAAAACAGUCCCAAGAAUUUAUAUGUAAAAUAGAAACAAAUAGCUCGGACUCUACAGCGAGCUGUAGAUCGGGGAGUCUCUGUUCUGGGAACCGAGCAUUUUAGCCCUGUUCAAUCUCUGUUGUAGUGACUGCACUUCUCCUCACUGGCUGCGGCAGCACCUCCUCCCGAGCAGUACCACAGCCAAAACAUGUCCCCAGACAUCACUGUGAGCCACCUGGGACCCCGGCUGCCCUUACGCAAAAGCUGCUGCUGGGGAGGGGUCCUCAAGUGGACCGUUGUCAUAUGUACACUACAGGUUAAGUUUCCACAGGAAUAAAAUGAACCAGCUCCGACAUUUGUCUCCUCUUCUUUGGGACAUCAUUAAGUCCAAGCCGUAAAUAUUGAGGAGGCCAGAAAGGAGUGGGGAGAAAAAGCAGGUAUGAGAAUAAUUAAAAUUCACCUGGGUAUGCAGUCACCAGCCCAGCACUGAGACUGUAGUAGGUGUGUGUGUGUGUGUGUGUGUGUGUGUGCGCGCAUGUGUGCACACAUCAGGUACUUAAAUGCAGGCGCUUGAAUACCUGAGUGGGGCUCUUGUGUGGGUACUUUUUAUUUGUUCAGACUGCAAAGAUUUUGAGCUCUCUGCUUUGUUCAAUAUGAAAGUAGAUUAGGUUUCUUUGAAAUUAGCGUCUUUUGAAAGCUUCCUGUAAGUGGCCAGAAUGUACAGAUUGUUCCCACGCUGUCCAGAGACCAUGUCAGACUACUUAAGAGGCGAUUGCAUAAAGGAGUCAGUCACUAGCUGUGGUGGUAAGCGCCCUCCCUGGAUUUGUUAAUUUUUGUUGCUGCUGUUCAUUUACUUUUAAUGGCUUGUAUACUACUUUAUAGCAAAAUGUUUUUGUUUUUUGUUUUUGUUUUUGUUUUUGUUUUUGUUUUUGGAGACAAGGUUUCUCUGUGUAGCCCUGGCUGUCCUGGAACUCACUUUGUAGACCAGGCUGGCCUCGAACUCAGAAAUCCGCCUGCCUCUGCCUCCCAAGUGCUGGGACUAAAGGCGUGCAACACCAAGCCCAGCUUUUUUUUUUUUUUUUUCUACUUUCAGAGUGGUAUCCUUGGGGGCUUCUCUGUGCAUCUCACACAUUCUUUAUCCUCUACCCCAUCUCCCCAAAAUGUUCCAGUUGAAAGUGAUGAGGCUCCUACAGAUGACUGGAGAGCAGUGUCCUGGUGUUUGGUUUGGUUUGGUAGUGCUCGGGGCUCAUGGUCAGCAUUCCACAGUUACAGAAAUGGAAAAGGCCCAGGGAGGAAAAGACUCUGGUUCCCUGAAGAAUGCAGGAGUGCUCGCUUCCAGCUGGCUUAGUGCUCUGUCAUCCACUGAGUCGUCCUAUUGAAAAGUGUGAAUGUUCCUUCUGAGCAGCUCAUCUGAUCAUUUCAGAGAAGAGUAGAGCCUCUUGGCUGGCACCAUGAGUCUGUCUUUGUCCUCAUGGGUUUUGAGGUGUGUAUGUGUCCUCACUCACUUGUAUGUGGUUGGAUGCACAUGGAGGCAAAUGUGUGGAAACCAGAUGUCUUCCCCCAUUGCUCUUUGCUUUAUUUACCAAGGCAGAGUCCCUGGCUGAACCCAGAGUUCUCUGUUUAUGACUCCUCCGGUUAGCCAGCUUCUGUCCCUCCCUCGAUGCCUGGAGUUAUAAGUGAUUCCCCGACUAUCUGGCUUUUAUGUGAACCCCAUUCCUCAUGCUUGCAAUGGCAAGUGCCUUGGGCACCGAGCCAUCUCCAGCUGCCUUUCCCACUUCCCCCUUCUCUUCUCCACCCUCUUCCCAUCUUUCCUUCUCCUUCUUUCUCAUUCCCCCUUCUCCCUCUUUACAUUGUAAAUUAGAACUUGCUGGAAUCUGGCAGUGUUCUCUUUGUCAGUCUGAGUUGCACUGAAGCCAUGUAAGUUGGACUUGGAGAUGUUUGUCUUCCUUGCAGUUUGGUGUGCACUGCUAACCUAUCCAGAAGUCCAUCUCCAUGGUGGCUUCCCUAUGAGCUGAGCCCUCACCACAGUCGCUUUCACUUCCAACACGCGCAUCUUAGCUCAGCUGGGCCAGCAAGGGAGCCUACUGCUUAUGGGUUCGCUGUUUUACCGAAGCCAGCCAGAUGGGUUUAGAAGGCCUAUCCUUUGAAAGGCAAACUUGAUGAAGGUGAAGGGAGGUAAAGGGCCUAGGAAAGAUGCUGCUCUCUGGAGUGGGGUGGUCAGUAGGCAGGGAUAGGUUAGCCUGGAGCAGCGAAGGUGGCAGCAUUUGGAGUGAGUCAUGCCUGGGGUCCUAGAGGGUGGCAGUGCUGGCACUGGCCAAGGGAACUGGAUAGGGUGUCGUGGUUACAGCCCCAAAGCUGAUGAUUCUGCUGAGAUGUAGACCUCCCUUAGGGUCCUUAGCUGACAACAUAGUGCAUAUAUAGAGCAUAUACAGAGCAUAUACAGAGCAUAUACAGAGCAUGAAAAAGAACAGAAAGUGAAAGGGAUUAGAAGGCUUUCAGAUAGAAGGACUGCUCUGUAGACCUGACUUUUAUAACAGCUUACAAAGACAGGAGUAAAACAAGCACUACUCGGGCUGAAGUAAAAGCUGCACAGAACCGGUUAGAUGAAAAGGAACUGACGUGUCGACCGUCAAGGAGGUCAUUUUAAAUAGCUCCAUGAACGUAAGAAUUCCAUUUUCCAAAAGUUUGAGAGGGCCACCAUUAUUUGCAUUGUUGCUACAGCAUUUCACACAGCUGUAACUAAUUAGGAGAGUGGUGUUGCUGUAGCCCAGCAGGGUUCUGGCAUCGGAUCUCUGCAUUGAUUCCUGUUUGAGUUAACAGUCCUGGCUAGAUGAGCGUCCCACCGCUGAGUUAUGUCCCCAGCUUCUCCUUGUAAGUUUUGUUAUGACAUAUUAGAAUUUAAAAUAAGAAAGGUCAAAGACCAAGCAAAACUUUUAAGAAGGUAGGCUAGACAAGUCAUUUGGUGGCAAAUGACUUUAA